AGAACGAACGCUGGCGGCAGGCCUAACACAUGCAAGUCGAACGCCGUAGCAAUACGGAGUGGCAGACGGGUGAGUAACGCGUGGGAACAUACCCUUCGGUUCGGAAUAACUCAGGGAAACUUGAGCUAAUACCGGAUACGUCCGAGGUUUUAAUCGACCUUGGAGAAAGAUUUAUCGCCGGAGGAUUGGCCCGCGUCUGAUUAGCUUGUUGGUGAGGUAAUGGCUCACCAAGGCGACGAUCAGUAGCUGGUCUGAGAGGAUGAUCAGCCACAUUGGGACUGAGACACGGCCCAAACUCCUACGGGAGGCAGCAGUGGGGAAUAUUGGACAAUGGGCGAAAGCCUGAUCCAGCCAUGCCGCGUGAGUGAUGAAGGCCUUAGGGUUGUAAAGCUCUUUACCCGGGAAGAUAAUGACGGUACCGGAGAAUAAGCCCGGCUAACUUCGUGCCAGCAGCCGC
rnacentral:rRNA from 1 species